GAUGAAGAACGUAGCGAAAUGCGAUAAGUAAUGUGAAUUGCAGAAUUCAGUGAAUCAUCGAAUCUUUGAACGCACAUUGCGCCCCUUGGUAUUCCGGGGGGCAUGCCUGUUCGAGCGUCAUUACAACCCUCAAGCUCUGCUUGGUCUUGGGCGUCACCGGUCCCCGGUGUGCCUUAAAAUCAGUGGCGGCGCCAUCUGGCUCUAAGCGUAGUACAUACUCUCGCUACAGACGUCCGGUGGAUGCUGGCCAGCAACCCCCAAUUUAUCAAGGUUGACCUCGGAUCAGGUAGGGAUACCCGCUGAACUUAAGCAUAUCAAAAGCGGAGGA
rnacentral:misc_RNA from 1 species